rnacentral:rRNA from 1 species
CCAGCAGCCGCGGUAAUUCCAGCUCCAAUAGCGUAUACUAACGUUGUUGCAGUUAAAAAGCUCGUAGUUGGAUUUUUAAGGGUUUCUGCUUCUAGUGACCAUUAGUGUCUCUAAUGUUGCAGACUCCCCUUAUUUUGCCUCAGUGUUCUCUUGGGAUUGAUUUCCUGAAAGUUCUUCUUGGGCGUGUUUACUUUGAGAAAAUUAGAGUGUUCAAAACAGCCUUGUGGUUGUAUAUCAUAGCAUGGAAUAAUAACUGACGACGUCGGUCGUUUUUUGUUGGUUCGGAUGGCUGAUGUAAUGAUUGAUAGAGUUAGUCGGAGGUAUUAGUAUUUUAUCGUUAGAGGUGAAAUUCAUGGAUCGGUAAAAGACUAACAACUGCGAAAGCAUUUAUCUAGGAUUUGCUCUUUGAUCAAGAACGAAAGUUGGGGGAUCGAAGACGAUCAGAUACCGUCGUAGUCUCAACUAUAAACUAUACCAGCUAGGGAUUGGCAAGCGUUGCUUGACCUUGUCAGAACCUUAUGAGAAAUCAAAGCAUUUGGGUUCCGGGGGGGGUAUGGUCGCAAGGCUGAAACUUAAAGGAAUUGACGGAAGGGCACCACAAGUUGUGGAUCCUGUGGCUUAAUUUGACUCAACACGGGAAAACUUACCAGGUCCAGACAUAGUAAGGAUUGACAGAUUGAGAGCUCUUUCUUGAUUCUAUGGGUGGUGGUGCAUGGCCGUUCUUAGUUGGUGGAGUGAUUUGUCUGGUUAAUUCCGAUAACGAACGAGACCUUAACCUACUAAAUAGUUACAUCGAUACUUUUGUAUCGAUGGACAACUUCUUAGAGGGACUAUCGGUGUUCAACCGGUGGAAGUUUGAGGCAAUAACAGGUCUGUGAUGC